GGAGCCGGCCGGGCGGCCGCGGCCGCGCCUCGCGCGCGGUCGAGGAAAGUCCGGACUCCACAGGGCAGGGUGCUGGGGCGACUCAGGCGGGGGCGACCUCGCGAAGGCGCAACAGAGAGAAGACCGCCUCUCCCGUUCGCGGGAGGGGUAAGGGUGAAACGGUGCGGUAAGAGCGCACCAGCGGCGCGGGCGACCGCGCCGGCUCGGCAAGCCCCACCCGGAGCAAGGCCAAGCAGGCAGCGUUCGAGGGUGGCCCGCCCGAGCUGCCGGGUAGGCCGCACGGCGCGGGUGAACCGCGACGCGGCGGCGCGGCGGGGAGACCCGCCUGCGCGCCGAGAGAGAUGGCCGCCGCCGGGACCUCGGUCCCGGUACAGGAUCCGGCUUAUAGGCCGGCUCCUCCA
rnacentral:RNase_P_RNA from 1 species